rnacentral:misc_RNA from 1 species
GAGGCAUAUCGACAGGAGCACAAAAUGGGGCCUGCCAGGGGACCAUCGCCAGGCAGUUGUUGACAGGUGGUCUUUGUGCUCCAUCUGCAUUUACUGGAGUGCGAGGCCAGAGAUACUGAUUCAUGAUGCCAGAUAUCACAUCCGAGCUAACGCUGAACACCCGGUCAUUCACCGGCUUAUACAAAACAAGCGCCCUCUCGUCAUUAACACCGGGCAUCGUAGAUUCAACUUCGAUCAUACUAGCAUCAAGCUGCUCAUCCCGGACCUGCUGGUUGAACACCAAAGGAACCACCGGCACCGGCUCCUCCUCUUCCACGAUCGACGGCAACACCGCAUCCAGCCGUCGGAUCUUCCGGGCAGGGGCGGAAGUGGAGAAGUCGGUGAAUUCCUCAUAGGCGUCGUCGGUGUCCUUCCUCUUCAUCCUCGCCGGGCGAGCGAUCUCGCGGCGAGCGCUGGUGUCUCUCUCUCUCCUAGGGUUUCGAUCUGUG